UGCAUGGUGAACUUUUCCUCCUAAACUCCGG
rnacentral:piRNA from 1 species